rnacentral:rRNA from 1 species
GCAGGCUGAAAUUCGCCUGUAUGAAGCCGGAAUUGCUAGUAAUGGCAGGUCAGCAUACUGCCGUGAAUACGUUCCCGGGCCUUGUACACACCGCCCGUCACACCAUGAGAGUCGAUAACACCCGAAGCCUGUAGUCUAACCUUAGGGGGGACGCAGUCGAAGGUGGGAUUGAUAAUUAGGGUGAAGUCGUAACAAGGUAUC